AUAACAAAAGGCUGUCGGUCUCCGAGCCGGCACGGCAGCUUAAGAGGCAUCGCGGUCUAAGUCUUGGGAGGAAGACCCUCGGCGCAGCAAUAGCUAGCAGCCGCUGAUAAACAGGAGGGAGGCACCCCUUAACUCCGCUAUCGGCUGUAGGGUAAGACGCGGAACUAAAUCAGCACGGCCUUAGCGCCGUGCUUUAUUUU
rnacentral:sRNA from 1 species